rnacentral:rRNA from 1 species
AAGUAAAUCUUUUGUCAAAUCCUUGUGCUUAACGCAGGGGCAGCAAGAGACACUACUUUUUUAGGGAUCGGGAGGAGUCAGGGGUAUUCCUUGGGUAGCGGUAAAAUGCGAUAAUCCUUGGAAGACCACCAAUGGCAAAGGCAUCUGACUAGAACGAAUCCGACGAUCAGGGACGAAAGCUAGGGGAGCAAAAGGGAUUAGAUACCCCUGUAGUCCUAGCUGUAAACACUGCAAGCUGGGUGUUGCAUAUUCUUUGUGAAUAUGUAGUGCCGGAGCGAAGGCGUUAAGUUUGCCGCCUGGGAAGUAUGGUCGCAAGACUGAAACUUAAAGGAAUUGGCGGGGGCGCGCUACAAGGAGUGGAACGUGCGGUUUAAUCAGAUUCUACGCCGUGAACCUCACCAGGAACGACGGCAGGAUGAAGGUCAGAUUAAAGGUUUUACCUGACGAGCCGAGAGGAGGUGCAUGGCCGCCGUCAGUUCGUGCUGUAAAGUGUCCAGUUAAGUCUGGCAACGAACAAGACCUGUAUUUAUAGUUGCUAACGAGUCUUCCGAGAUGAUUGUGCACACUAUAGAGACUGCCUAGGAAACAAGGAGGAAGGUGCAGGCAACGGUAGGUGGUAUGCCCUGAAUUUCCUGGGCCACACGCGCGUUACAAUGGUAAGGACAAUAGGAUACAACUCCGAAAGGAGAAGUCAACCCCUUAAACCUUAUCUUAGUCCGGAUUGAGGGUUGCAACCCACCCU